UGGUCCAUAAACCUACGAAUACCUCCAGAGAAAGAUGACAUACUUCUUGACUGACUGAAUCGCAUAAAAUCCAUCGAGUAUGACUUGUAGAAGAUAAAGAAAGUAAGUUUCAUUCUUACGUGUCUAUAGUACGUCAUGAAAAGAAAAAACUGAAACUUAGAUUGCAUAUUCUUUCUUGAUUGUCUGCAACUGAUAGUGGAACUAAACUUUUUUUUGCAGUUGUUACUUGAAACGGCAUCAAAACAAAUAGAACUUUCCGAGUCAAUGGAAACUUUAAGAGAGAAUAAUGUAAAUAUAAGUACCUGAUGCUUUUACAAGAACCAACUAAUAAUCUUUUAUCAACCAUUCUUGUCUACAAAAUAAAAUACGCAGAUUGCUAAUUUAAUUUGGUUCCUCAAUAAGAAAAUUUAAGUGUUAAGCAUGCAAUAAAUAUGAUAAUGGGAGAACACUGCUCAUGCUACAGAAAACUAAUUGGAAUAUUUCACAAGCACAUAAUUAUUGAUGUUCAACCAGUAUGAUAAUUGUGAAUAAAGAACAAGUUUAAUGCAUACUGCACAUUAACAAACAUUCAUAAACUUAAUACACUACCAACUACCAAGCCAUCUUGAGGAACAAAACAUUAAAGAAACACAAAGAACAUGUCAAAAUUUACAAAAAGAGAGGAGAUAAUCUCCUGCAACCAUCUAAAGUCAACUUCAACAACCCACCAAUUAAUAACCAUAAAAUACUAAUUGAUUGGUAGUACAAAAUUAAUUUUGAUAUUGAUCAAUACAGUGACUACACCUUUGCCAGAGAAACAAUAAUUGGAUAUCUAAAUUAAAAAUAAGCAUAUGAAUAAAAGACCAACCAUCCAAAAAGUAAUUGACCCGAAAGUUCAAAUAAGAUGAAAGAUCAGCCAAACAAAAAAAUAAAAUAAAGAAACUUUAGCAGCCCUAAGAAAUAAUCAAAUUAUUAGCACGUACCUUUUACCUUAUAUUUUGAAAUUGAGGGAGUAUAAUAUAUACUUCCAUUACGGUGGAUUGCAGGUUCGAAGCAGCAAACAGUGCGUCGGAAUGAUCCUUUCAUACAAUAUAUUAUGAACACACUGUAGUGUGAAGAAUAGAAAAAAACAUGGUGUCGAAGGCAAUAAAUUUUAUUCUUUUAACAUUUGCUGUUACAAAUGGAAUUUCCACUCAUUUACAGGCAGGAUAUCGUCUUUUAUAAGUGCUCUCUAUCAUGCUCUAUGAACAAUUAAGAUUGAAGACUGGUAUGAUUUUACAACCCCUAUUAUUUAUCAUCUACAAAAUUUUGCCAGCGUAGAGGCAAAAUAAUUACCUUUUAGAAGAGCCCAAUCCUUUCUGUAACCAAUUGUACAAUGACUUCCUUGUGACCUUUAGCCGUAGCAAAUCUGUGGGUCUCCUGGUUGACGAUUCUAACAGUGGCGGCAACCCAGACCGGAUGAGAGAUCGAGAGAAAAGAGAAAGAAAUUGCAGCAAAAGAAGAGAAGACGAGAAGACGAGAAGAAAUUAAGAGAAUGAGGAGGACUGACCAGAGAAAAGAGAUUCAGACUUCUGAUUCCGAGUUCGAGAUCUGGAUUCUGGGUUUGGGAUGAGAGAUUCAGAUUGAGACUACAGACUUGAGAGUUCGACUUGAGAGUUCAGAGUCCGGGCCAGGGCUAGUAAUGCGCUGAGUAGUAAAUAGUGAGUGUUGAGUCAUUAGUAU
rnacentral:lncRNA from 1 species